rnacentral:rRNA from 1 species
AGUGAACGCUGGCGGUAGGCCUAACACAUGCAAGUCGAACGGCAGCACAGUAAGAGCUUGCUCUUACGGGUGGCGAGUGGCGGACGGGUGAGGAAUACAUCGGAAUCUACUUUUUCGUGGGGGAUAACGUAGGGAAACUUACGCUAAUACCGCAUACGACCUACGGGUGAAAGCAGGGGAUCUUCGGACCUUGCGCGAUUGAAUGAGCCGAUGUCGGAUUAGCUAGUUGGCGGGGUAAAGGCCCACCAAGGCGACGAUCCGUAGCUGGUCUGAGAGGAUGAUCAGCCACACUGGAACUGAGACACGGUCCAGACGCCUACGGGAGGCAGCAGUGGGGAAUAUUGGACAAUGGGCGCAAGCCUGAUCCAGCCAUACCGCGUGGGUGAAGAAGGCCUUCGGGUUGUAAAGCCCUUUUGUUGGGAAAGAAAAGCAGCAGGUUAAUACCCCGCUGUUCGGACGGUACCCAAAGAAUAAGCACCGGCUAACUUCGG